rnacentral:lncRNA from 1 species
GGAACCAAGAGGCAGAGGGGGAAGUCCUGGGUAUUUAAUUCCUCUGCCUUUGAUGUAGAUGGUCCAGUCCUGACUUUCCAGCUGAGUGGAGACUUGCUCUUGGUUUCCACAUGCAACAGUGACCUGCUUGAACCCCACAGGGAGGAAGAUGGAGGAUGCCUCACGAGUAUUGAGGGUAAUUGGUAGUGGCUUUGAGGAAGAUAAUGUCCAAUCUCUGGCAGAGGCUAGGGAAAGGGGUAACUUGAAAAGGUGAAAAGGUGUGACUUUCAUUAUUCUGUCAGUAAAACUGAGUUUCCAGCACAGUCUGUAGGUCCAAAAUAAACCCCCUCUUCAUCCAAUCUUCUGUUGUGUCUGCCCUAAGAAGGGUCUUGUGGAAGAGAGAAGAUGAGCACACGACCGAAGGGCAGCACACAGCUGCUGCUCAUAAUGUGGAGAGUUGCAGUGCACGUUUGCUGGGCACAUUACAUCCAUUAUCUGGUUUAAUACAAUGAUGAAAUUUGGGGUGAGUACUGUUAUUGUCUCCAUUUCACAGACAAGGGAAUAGAGAUUAGAGUGGUGAAAUAAUUUGCUCAAGAUCACGUAGCUAGUAAGUGGUGAAGUCAGGAUUUGAACACAGGUUUCAAAACAGGCUGGAGGCCUGUUUGUGACCUGAGGGCCAAACUUCUAUUGUGGGGUGAGGAUAAUCUAUCCUGCAAAGGAAAAUUUGGGGCCUUGAGGGCCUCACUGGGACUCAGGAGAGAGCUCUUAGAUGGGCUCUGUUAGCUGAUUUUAAAGAGCCUAAAGUACUUGCUGUGACCGAUUUCUCUUUCUGCGAUCAGCAGCUUCAGAGCAUAGCACGCUUCAGCUGCUCUUAAAAGGUUACUGAAAAGUGGGUGUGAGGUAUUGACAUUAAAAAAAAAAGAUCGUAUUGUGGUUCUCUUCACCCAAGCACUUCAAAAACCUUUCUAAAACACCUCAUGGAAAAUCCCAUUGUCACACUUUACAGAGUAACAACUGACCACACUCAUUCAGAAAAUCAAUGGCAGAGUAAGUUUGAUUUGAAGAAAUGGAGCCGAACUCAAGACCCCUCUCGCAGGUCAGACCCAAAUCACAAUCAACUGUCGUUAUAGUUGGGUCACCCUGGUCCUAGGUGAUUUGGAAUCUAUAUUGUGUUGGCACAUUUUUAAAAAAACUAACUUGUUUAUAUGUGGCUUUUUUUCUUCUUUUUUAUUGGGGGCUGGGAGGAUGAAGUCUCACUGUGUUGUCAGGCUGGAGUGCAGGGGCAUGAUCUCGGCUCACCGUAACGUCUGCCUCCUGGGUUCAAAUGAUUCUCCUGCCUCAGCCUCCCGAGUAGCUGAGAUUACAGGCAUGCACCACCACGCCUGGCUAAUGUUUGCAUUUUAGUUCAAAAUAGAGAUGGGGUUUCACCAUGUUGGCCAGGCUGGUCUUGAACUCCUGACUUCAAGUGAUCUGCCCGCCUCAGCCUCCCAAAGUGUUGGGAUUACAGGCGUGAGCCACACCUGGCCUCUACGUAGCUUUUCUAAGGAGGCUUUUUAAACUGGAGAUUUACGGAGGCUUAAAAGAACACUUGGAAUUUGGCCGGACAGCACAGGAACAUGGGAAAGAAGAAAACAAGAGGGGAUCAAAACGGAGUCAGCAACGAGGCAAACACAAGCAAGGAUGGACUUGGGAAUUUGCCACCCUUUGACGAGGUGCCAGAGAGGCCAGACCCGUCUAACUUCUUUCAGGGAGUGCCAUGUUCAGCAGCAAUCUCUACAUUCAGAAAAAAUUAACUCAGUUGCUCCUAUGGGCCCCCUCUCCCCUCACACGAGUCUCUUAUCUCCAUAUUCAGAGGCAGGUUUGUCUGGUUUAAAUCUGGGUUCUGAUGUAACUGUGAACUUUGGGACAAGUUAUUGAACAAUUCUGGGCCUCAGUUUCCUUAUUUUCAAAAGAGGAUAAUAAAAUCCACCUCCUUAUAUUGUUUUGAGGAAAAAUGAGAGGGUCUGCAUGAAACGCUGAGCACAGCAGGUACC